UCGCUUCCGUCUCCACUUAGCACACAACCUUGGCAGCUAUCUCUCCCAGGUACUCUUUAAGUCUUGCUGUGCUCGUGGACCUUCUGAAAAUUCAUCUGAAAUCGACCUGAGCAGUUUGUCGUCGUGUUCCAGCUCUUGUAGGCAGCAUUUGAUCCCCUGAAAGCUCAUGGGUUAUUUUCUGGACUCCAUGGCACAGGCCCUGAAAGAAAUCAAGGAGAAGAAGCUCACUGCUGACAGCAGAAGGUAAACACGGAUGAACCUCGUGGUCAGGUA